AGCGAACGCUGGCGGCAGGCCUAAAACAUGCAAGUCGAGCGCCGUAGCAAUACGGAGCGGCAGACGGGUGAGUAACACGUGGGAACGUGCCUUUUGGUUCGGAACAACACAGGGAAACUUGUGCUAAUACCGGAUAAGCCCUUACGGGGAAAGAUUUAUCGCCAAAAGAUCGGCCCGCGUCUGAUUAGUUAGUUGGUGGGGUAACGGCCCACCAAGGCGACGAUCAGUAGCUGGUCUGAGAGGAUGAUCAGCCACACUGGGACUGAGACACGGCCCAGACUCCUACGGGAGGCAGCAGUUAGGAAUCUUGGACAAUGGGCGCAAGCCUGAUCCAGCCAUGCCGCGUGAGUGAUGAAGGCCCAGGGUUUUUGAAAGCUCUUUCAGCGGGGAAGAUAAUGACGGUA
rnacentral:rRNA from 1 species